AUGGCAUAAACUCGGCCUAAGACUGCUAGUCUAGCUUGUGACUGAGGCUGGGGGCAAUCAUGGAUCUGAUGAUCGGUACUUCCAUAUCUGAGGCAAGCAUUGUUGAGUCGAUAAGACGAGACAUUCCCAUGAUUCUUGCCACAAUGAACAUAACUCUGAUCUUGUCUGGCUGGCAAAGUUUGCAGCGGGGCAGGGUGAGCUACCUUAAGUCUCUUAUUUUGGUGGCUCUGACUUGAGAAUGGGUUUUGGUAGGGGACUGGAGGCUUGGAACUACUUGUUGUUGGUGUAGAGGUCCCAACAAUACUCUCAAUGAGUCGCAUCUUAACCAAACCUGCUAAUAGGUACAAAGCUUAAGUACUAUAAGGGGAUUCCUAAUCUCCGAAUGGAGACCCCACUAAAAUCUUCAGGUCAUCUUCCCUUUAUCAACUACAAUAUCGAGAGAGUAGCAGCUAAGCUCUGUGAAUCUUCUAACAUAAUUAGUGACUGAGAGGCUUCCCUGAGUAAGCUGGUGAACUCUAUCUCCUUUUGAUGACGAAUGUGGUCAGG
rnacentral:lncRNA from 1 species